UCUUAUUCACUUCAUUAUGCCUGCAAUCAUGAUUCUUGGUUGCCUCACCCGCAUGCCCCGUCUCUCUCCCUAACUCUUCUCUUUCUCUCUCUAUAUCUCUCCUUUCUCCACCCACCUAUAAAUACCAUACAGAUCCCUCUUCUCUCUCUCACCUGUAGUUCUCUCUUAAAUUCCCACCCCAGAGCAUAAUACAUAUCUCCAUUUGUAUCCUCUUUUCUUGAGUUUAUUUAAGUCUUUUUUAUUAAUAUAAUUUUCUUGCAGAUACUUGUUGCUAGUACUAAGUUCUACUUCAAUGGCUGUGUCUGGAUUUGAAGGGUUUGAGAAGCGUUUGGAGCUUCAUUUCUUUGGUGAUGAUCCGGUAAUGAUGGAUAAUAUGGGUCUUAGGCUUCUUGAUUUUGAGUCAAUAGUUAAAGUUUUAAAUGCUGUGCAAUGCACUGUAGUAUCAGCUGUGGGGAACCAGUAUUUUGAUGCCUACGUGUUAUCAGAAUCAAGCCUCUUUGUAUACCCCACCAAGAUUAUCAUCAAGACAUGUGGGACCACUCAGCUUCUCAAAUCCAUCCGUCCAUUAAUUCUCUAUGCUUGCAAUCUUGGCCUUUCUUUGUGCUCCUGUAGGUACACCCGAGGUAGCUUUAUCUUUCCCAAGUCACAGCCUCUCCCUCACACUAGCUUCAAGGAAGAAGUCAUUUAUCUCGAAGAGAAUCUCCCUUCCAAUCUUUGUUAUAGAAAAGCUUCUGUUAUGCCUUCUAAAAUCACUUCUCAUUCUUGGCAUGUUUUUACUGCUAGUGACCCAACUCACCUAAUUUCCCAAAACGACGACGUUUAUACUAUUGAGGUUUGCAUGACCGAGCUUGACCGUGUUUUGGCUCGUAAAUUCUUUCAACCUCCUGGUGAUGGCAAGAACGGUGAUAUAGCCGGAAAAGAGAUGACCAAACUUACCGGCAUAGGUGAUAUCAAUCCAGGAGCUAUUAUUUGUGAUUUUGCAUUUGACCCUUGUGGAUACUCCAUGAACGGGAUUGAUAAUGAACGUUACUCUACUAUCCAUGUGACUCCAGAAGAUGGUUACAGCUACGCAAGCUUCGAGUGUGUGGGCUCCAUUUUCGACGAUAAUGAUGACGUGGCUGGGGUUCUAAAGAAAGUUGUGCAGGUUUUCCGGCCGGCAACUAUGUCAGUGUCGACUACAUGCACAAGCCAUGAAGUGUGGACACGUGUUGCACAUGCGCUCGAGCCAAUGGGAAUGAAAUGCCGGAGUUGCGCCAUGGAUGAGUUCCCGGCGAGCGGAAGCGUGGUGUUUCAAACGUUCACAGUUCGCAGGAAGUAAAGAAUCGGAAAAAAUGGUGAAGAAGAAGUCGGUAGAUACACUGAGAGAGAGAGAGAGAGAGAGAGAGAGAGAGAGUGAGUUAGGGUUUAGGGUUGAGUAGAAAAAUUUUUAGGGCGGGUGAGGGAGAAGUUGAUUACGUUUUAAGAGAGAUGUGAUUGGUUAAGAAGGUGAUAAAUGAGAAGUUGACUUGUGUAGAAAGAUAAAAAGUGGGGGAGGAUUUUAUUAGAGAUGAGAGGAGGAGGAGGAGGAGGAGGAUGUGGAAGCAUGAAAAAGAGAAUUUGAUGAGAUGAUGUAUCAUGAUAAUGCACCCCACUUAGGCUAGUCACGCCUAAGAUUUUUGAGGUUGUGUAGUAGUGGGGUUCCAAAGUGCUCUUUGUUUUUCAGGGUGGUUGGGCGAAAUAUCUCAAAUUAAUAGACUUUGAAGGGGUUUAAUGUGCGAAUUUCAGCAAAUGAAACCAAGUUGGCAAGAAUUUACAAGGAGGUCGGGGUUUUUUUUUGGGGUUUUGCAUGGGAUUUUGUUGGGGUUUUUUUUUUAUUUAUGAAAAUAUAAAUAUUUGUGGGAUGGCUACGAUGAUUAUGCAUCUGGCGUGGAAGUCACCAUAAAUAUGAUACAAUCUAACAGCUCUUUGUCGCAUUGUAACACAAUACAGAAUCUACACGUGACCAUAAUUUUGACUUAAA